ACAGGCUGAUUCUUAGUACCUGUGCCUUUUUGGGGAGAAUCAUGACAUUGGACUUGAACUAUGGAGGGUAAACUGACCUAUAUGUCUACUAUCCAAGCUCUCAGUUUCUCACUUUCAAAUACUGGAUUUCAAGACAUAUCAACCAGGCUUCAACGUACGGUGAGAUUUGAGCAAUCCAGGAAUAUGUUGAGGACAUAAAUUAUGCCAUUCAUCUGACUCGCUCAAAACUUUCAUGGCUGCCAUCCCGCAUGGAACCAAAUCUAGAAUCAUUACCAUGGCCGGAGUCACUCUCAUGAAAUUGCCUCCCACCACCCACUGAGGCCCAGAAGUCGGCUAGGGCAACCCCUGGACUCUGUAGGCAGGGCUAUGAACUCUAGAUUCAGUUGCCAACUGAAAAUCCUGGCUCCCUACUUACCUGCCUCCAAACUCCUCCAUUGCCUCAGUCUCCUCACCUCUAAAACGAUAGAUGUUUCAACUUACCGUGUUUCCAAGAACUAAAUGGGACAACAGUCACAAAGAACAUAGGAGAAUACUUACCAGAGAGUUAUAAACUCAUCAAAAAUAAGUGCGAAGUUCUUCAACUUCUCUAACAUUUGUCACCGAUGAGUUGGGGAUCAAUUAUUCUUAUGAGCUUUUCAAAUUGGACUGUUGGAAAAGUUCAGUGAAGUGGAACUGAUUACUGCCAACAUUACAUUUAAUGAGACUAUAUAGUUGCAUAUUCGAAACCUGUAAAUGACUUCUUCCUGAGAAUUCUGACUUGCAUAGCCUUGUCCGAAGUUCCUCCUUCUUGGGUGAGCUAUCCUGAAGCUUUAUAUACCUCUGAUCUGUAACAAGUAAUUCUGUCUGAAGAAAGAAUACUUUGCUCAGAGAAGAGAGAGCCACUUUAACAGCAAGAAAGUCCAAAUGCAAGUUGAGUAUUUUUAGUUGAUGAUGGAGAUACCAUCCAGGCUCAAACACUGCAGCAACCAUUUGGGGCCAUACGAAAGACGUGUAAAUGGAGGAAAUUUGUCAGAAGAGACUAUUGCCAACAAUCAGUAUUUAUGAAGCAUCUACAAUUGGCCUUAUUUAGACACUCAACUGGAAUAACAAAAAAUAUUGACAGAUCUCUGUCUUCAUGGGGAUUUCAGUAGGGAGAGGGAGACAAACAUAAAUUGUGCAUGGCAACCAUUUAUUAUUUUUUAAAUGGAGCGAGGUAAUAUUUAUCAAGUGCUCACUACAUACGAAGCCUUGACUUGGUAUUUUGGAUACAAAGGCAAAUUAAGAUGCAGUCCCUUUUGUCAAGGACUUAGCCAUUUAACAGAGGAGAUAAACAACAGGGAGACAACUGCCAUUCUAUGAGUAUGGGUCUAAUUUUUUCUCAAAUGCUCAUUAUGUACCGGAGACCCUGCUAAGUCUUUACAGAAGGGUUCUCAUCAUUUGUGUGCUCUUGCUACUUUGCUGUAUGUACCUACAAUUAGACUCGGA